UAAGCAGAGGAGCUGGGCUCCAGAGAGAGGAAAGGGCUGAGAAAAGCACAGGCGGAGAAAAGACGAUUUUUCUUACAGGGCUAAAAUGCAGGGGACUUCCUUAUCCUGCCGACUCAGGGAAGCCCGGCCCCUUGUGAUCCAUUGCUGAAAGCCACCUCAUGUUUGAAAAACGGAUCCGCUCCCAACUUCAGUGGAAGGACACGACAUGUAGCACGAGGAAAGAUUGUGGCAUAUUACUGAACUAAGCAACCUAGUGACGUGUCUCUUCUGACUGGGGCUUGCCCACAGAGACAACUGUGACAUAGCACUGAGCCCAGGACCCAGGUGAUGUGACUCUGCUGCCUGUUUCCAACAUUCAUGAGAGGAUGGCAACUAUCCCUUGCCAAGAACUCAGGUGAUUUGACUCUCCUGCCUUGUCCCUGCCCUCAGAGAAGAUUGUGAUAUAUCUUCAGCCCCAAACCCAGACUUUCCUGCAGGAGUGAUGCUGACAUGUUCCUCUAUUUGGCAUCUGAGUGAUAUGACUCUUGCCAUGGUCUAGCCCACAGAUGGAAUUGUGAUGUGUUGCUGUACCCAGCACCUAGGUGAUGUGACUCCAUUUUUCUGCCUUGGCAUUGCUCACAAAAGGUAUUCUGACAUAUCUCUGGGGUAUGUACCCAGGUUUCAUGACUCUCUUGCCUGUGCCCUGUCCACAAAUUGUCAUGAAAUAUUGCUGGGUCCAACACCCAGGGAUGUAACUCUCAUGCCUAGGCCCUGCCAACAGGGGGAAUUGUGACAAAUCUCUGUGUCAACCCAGGUUAUGUGACUCUCUUUUUUUGCCUGGUCCCUGCUCACAGGGGGCAUUAUGACAUAUUGCUGAACUCAGCACCUAACUGAUGUGAUUCUCCUUUCUAGUUUUUGCCCACAGGGGAGAUUGUGACAUAUCACUGGGCCUCAUACUAAGGUGAUGUUACACUUUCGUUUUUGAACUGUACUCAGAAGGCAUCGUGACAUAUUCCUGGGCCCAGCACCAAGGUGAUCUGAGUCUCCUGCCUGCACUUUGUCCACAAAUGGCAUUGUAACAUAUCUUCAGACCUAUCAACUACUUGAUAUGACUUAUUUUUUUAAAGUGAAAGCAAGUUUAUUAGGGAAGUAAAUAAACAAAAGAA